CUAGACAGAUCUUGUAAAAGUUUUUCAGUUACAUUGAGAAUAAUUGUGGUGGGCACAAUGUUUAGA
rnacentral:tRNA from 1 species